UGGGGAAUAUUGCACAAUGGGCGCAAGCCUGAUGCAGCCAUGCCGCGUGUAUGAAGAAGGCCUUCGGGUUGUAAAGUACUUUCAGCGGGGAGGAAGGGAGUAAAGUUAAUACCUUUGCUCAUUGACGUUACCCGCAGAAGAAGCACCGGCUAACUCCGUGCCAGCAGCCGCGGUAAUACGGAGGGUGCAAGCGUUAAUCGGAAUUACUGGGCGUAAAGCGCACGCAGGCGGUUUGUUAAGUCAGAUGUGAAAUCCCCGGGCUCAACCUGGGAACUGCAUCUGAUACUGGCAAGCUUGAGUCUCGUAGAGGGGGGUAGAAUUCCAGGUGUAGCGGUGAAAUGCGUAGAGAUCUGGAAGAAUACCGGUGGCGAAGGCGGCCCCCUGGACGAAGACUGACGCUCAGGUGCGAAAGCGUGGGGAGCAAACAGG
rnacentral:rRNA from 2 species